rnacentral:rRNA from 1 species
UACGUAGGGUGCAAGCGUUGUCCGGAAUUAUUGGGCGUAAAGAGCUCGUAGGCGGUCUGUUGCGUCGGCUGUGAAAACCCGGGGCUCAACCCCGGGCCUGCAGCCGAUACGGGCAGACUAGAGUUCGGCAGGGGAGACUGGAAUUCCUGGUGUAGCGGUGAAAUGCGCAGAUAUCAGGAGGAACACCGGUGGCGAAGGCGGGUCUCUGGGCCGAUACUGACGCUGAGGAGCGAAAGCGUGGGUAGCGAACAGG